CUGCAGCAGUUCAAAAGCUGCCAGCAGGUCUCCUCCGGGCUGGCUGCCGCAGUGGAGCGGGCUGUACCGCAGGGUCGGAGGUGCGUACGGUUCAGAGGACAACCGGACCUCAGGCACUGCCACUGUGGCUCCCAGAUACUCUGCCUUACCCUGCACAUGGUACCAGCGCAUCGUCGUCGUACACCUCGAUGAUGACGCGCGGCGGCUCCUGCUGGACGUACUGCAGAUCUCCGCUCACCAGCAGGAUGCCCAUCGGCAAACAGUGAUUCCACGUGGGGCUGAGAGUCUGACUGAUAAUCUGACAACAGCAAAGGGAAGGUGACGCGAGCGAAAGGAUCAGACAGGCCGGAGGUGUCGCCGGCGAUCAGGCCACGAGCCUGAUACAUGUGACACCUCAACUGGAACUUGUGCUGCUCUGGAGACACACAGACACCAAACACAGCUGAAGUCUGAGGCGAGUUUCAAGGAAACUUUUUUCUGAAACCAAAACGGCAAAAGGAACCAAAGAGACAGGGGAUCGAAGCCGUCAGUUCCCUCACCUGUGCAGAGCAGGUGAGUCUGAGGGCUGCCGCCAUCAGCGCCCCCUGUGGCCGGACUGAAACCGGCGGGCAGGUCAUCCAGCAUGUGACCGGAGUCCGAGCAGGUUCCCAACCACAGAUGCACGUCCACCUUCGCUUGGACUGAGAAGCCUGCAACACGCUUCCCUGGAGGCUGCGACACACACACACACACACACCAG